CCUACGGGAGGCAGCAGUGAGGAAUAUUGGUCAAUGGACGAGAGUCUGAACCAGCCAAGUAGCGUGAAGGAUGACUGCCCUAUGGGUUGUAAACUUCUUUUAUAUGGGAAUAAAAUGUUCCACGUGUGGGAUUUUGUAUGUACCCUAUGAAUAAGGAUCGGCUAACUCCGUGCCAGCAGCCGCGGUAAUACGGAGGAUCCGAGCGUUAUCCGGAUUUAUUGGGUUUAAAGGGAGCGUAGGUGGAUUGUUAAGUCAGUUGUGAAAGUUUGCGGCUCAACCGUAGAAUUGCUGUUGAAACUGGCAGUCUGGAGUGCAGUAGAGGUGGGCGGAAUGCGUGGUGUAGCGGUGAAAUGCUUAGAUAUCACGAAGAACUCCGAUUGCGAAGGCAGCUCACUGGACUGCAACUGACACUGAGGCUCGAAAGUGUGGGUAUCAAACAGGAUUAGAUACCCGAGUAGUC
rnacentral:rRNA from 1 species